GUAGGGAAUAUUGGGCAAUGGAGGCAACUCUGACCCAGCCAUGCCGCGUGCAGGAUGACGGCCCUCUGGGUUGUAAACUGCUUUUAUACGGGAAGAAAAAAUACUACGUGUAGUAUACUGAUGGUACCGUAAGAAUAAGGAUCGGCUAACUCCGUGCCAGCAGCCGCGGUAAUACGGAGGAUCCAAGCGUUGUCCGGAUUUAUUGGGUUUAAAGGGUGCGUAGGCGGAUCUUUAAGUCAGUGGUGAAAGCCUGCAGCUUAACUGUAGAAUUGCCAUUGAAACUGAAGAUCUUGAAUGUGGUUAAAGUAGGCGGAAUGUAUCAUGUAGCGGUGAAAUGCUUAGAUAUGAUACAGAACACCGAUAGCGAAGGCAGCUUGCUGAACCAUUAUUGACGCUGAGGCACGAAAGCGUGGGGAGCGAACAGGAUUAGAUACCCUAGUAGUCC
rnacentral:rRNA from 1 species